UUGAAUUAAAUAAAUUUUUUGUUCAGUGUAGUAAAAUUUUAUUGGAAUAAGAAAAUAUUGAAUUAAAUACGGGAUUUUUUUGAGUCAAUAUACUGCAUUUCUCUUUCUUUCAUCAUUUAUCUUUCUUAUUCUAUUUAAUUUUGUAUUUUUAUAAAAAAUAGUUUUGUUUUUUCCUAUAGAUGUCCGGAACUCGAAGGAAGCAGAAGGAAUUUUAGAAAAUAUCUGGUACAGCUAAACUUUUAAUGCUCUGAGAAAGAAAUCAAAUGCCUUACACUUGGUGAUGGAUAAAACACGAUCAGAGAAAGACACCGAAGGCAAUAUCCUUGGUGAUGGACAAAACACUCAAACUUCUAUUACCGGCCGUUGUGCACCUGAAGUUACCUAGUACCUUUUAUACGCACCCUUAGGACAAUCGAGAAAACAUCUUUAAAGUCUUGGAAAAAAAAAUUUCAUGUGACACUUAUUUCAAAGAAAAAGAUAAAAGAAACUUUGAAUUUCUCUGCAUGUGGUCAUGAAGAAAAAGGAGUAAAAUGGGGGGUAAAUGGACACAGAGAGAAAAAUAAGGAUCGGAAGGAUGCUGAUGUUCCAGAUUGUAUCCUGUUAUCAUUUGUAAUUGGAAAUUCGUGAUCGGUAUACGAUAUGUAUAAUUUCAUUCUGAUGACAAUUGGGAGUUUCACCGCACUAAAUUUGGAUGCUACUUUCCAUCAAAGAGUAUGCUGAGCGAUCUACCACGCACGCACACGCCGCGCUUAACCAUGCCUGCUCUUCAAAAGGGUCUGAAAAAGGGAUGUUAGUGAAAAAGAAAGAAAAAAACGAAAAAAGGAAUUUUACAAGAUACUGGGAAUUAAGGUCCUAUCAAGGAACAAGUGUCCUUCUACAAAAUUUUGGUCUUCAAUUUCAACUUAUCUUGAGGUAAUUGCAUUGGCUAUUCUUUCUUUUUAUUUUUAUCGAAACUAUUGUGAAUAUAUUAUUUUUCAUGAAUGAUAAAAUUGAAAUAUGUUUUUUUGUCAAAAUUCGUAAUCUACGACCCCAAAAAUCUCCAAAGUUUUAAGCCAAUUUAACCCACGAAACAAAAAAUUGGUCUUAAUUUUUAAAUUCUAAAAACAUUUUUCGUUAUGCGGAAAAAAAAAAUUUGCCUUUGAUUUUUUUAUUUUUAUUUUUGGUGACAAAUAUAUUUCUAAUUUAAAAAACUAUUUUUUCAUUUUAAAAAACUAUAUUUCUAUUUAAAAAUAUGUCUAAGAUAAAAAAAAACGUUUCAAAUUAUUUUAAUAGACGUAAAACGAUUUUUCUAUAUUUUUAAAUAGAAAUUUAUUAUUUUUAAAUAGAAAUAUAUUAUUUUUAAAUAAAAAUAUAUUAUUUUUGAAUAGAAAUAUAUUAUUAAAAAAAAAAAUUAUAUUUGAAUAGCGCGCCAUAAGUUCCACUUAUUAAAAAAGACGACACACUUCGGUGAUUCCCCGGCGUUUAAAAAUUAUUAAAUUUAUUGAUCUUUAUUUUUAUUUUGCCAAAUAUAUUUAUAUAUAUUUUUAUAAAUUUAAUUUUGAAUAUACUGAACCAUU